rnacentral:rRNA from 1 species
UACAGAGGAUGCAAGCGUUAUCCGGAAUGAUUGGGCGUAAAGCGCCUGUAGGUGGCUUUUUAAGUCCGCCGUCAAAUCCCAGGGCUCAACUCUGGACAGGCGGUGGAAACUACCAAGCUGGAGUACGGGAGGGGCAGAGGGAAUUUCCGGUGGAGCGGUGAAAUGCGUAGAGAUCGGGAAGAACAUCGGUGGCGAAAGCGCUCUACUGGACCGCAACUGACACUCAGGGACGAAAGCUAGGGGAGCGAAUGGG